CCAGCGGCGGUUCUAAAGCCAAGAAUAUCUUCUACAAUCUCCCCUUUCCCUAAUACUCUAAGAAUCUUAUAGCUUCAGAAGCUAAAAAUAAAUUUUUCACGCGUCCACUUCCACCAUGGGAUUCUCAGUGGUAUCUACUUGAUGAGAGCCUCCCAAGAUAACUUUCCCUUCUUCAACGUAGCAUCGAUGAUAACGUUCUUCACAUCUAUUGCGUGAGUCGCAUGCAUUUAUGUUCCUCCGGUCACUCAAUCAUGUCGUAGGAC